rnacentral:rRNA from 1 species
CGGUCCUAAGGUAGCGAAAUUCCUUGUCGGGUAAGUUCCGACCUGCACGAAUGGCGUAAUGAUGGCCAGGCUGUCUCCACCCGAGACUCAGUGAAAUUGAACUCGCUGUGAAGAUGCAGUGUACCCGCGGCAAGACGGAAAGACCCCGUGAACCUUUACUAUAGCUUGACACUGAACAUUGAGCCUUGAUGUGUAGGAUAGGUGGGAGGCUUUGAAGUGUGGACGCCAGUCUGCAUGGAGCCGACCUUGAAAUACCACCCUUUAAUGUUUGAUGUUCUAACGUUGGCCCCUAAUCGGGGUUGCGGACAGUGUCUGGUGGGUAGUUUGACUGGGGCGGUCUCCUCCUAAAGAGUAACGGAGGAGCACGAAGGUUGGCUAAUCCUGGUCGGACAUCAGGAGGUUAGUGCAAUGGCAUAAGCCAGCUUGACUGCGAGCGUGACGGCGCGAGCAGGUGCGAAAGCAGGUCAUAGUGAUCCGGUGGUUCUGAAUGGAAGGGCCAUCGCUCAACGGAUAAAAGGUACUCCGGGGAUAACAGGCUGAUACCGCCCAAGAGUUCAUAUCGACGGCGGUGUUUGGCACCUCGAUGUCGGCUCAUCACAUCCUGGGGCUGAAGUAGGUCCCAAGGGUAUGGCUGUUCGCCAUUUAAAGUGGUACGCGAGCUGGGUUUAGAACGUCGUGAGACAGUUCGGUCCCUAUCUGCCGUGGGCGCUGGAGAACUGAGGGGGGCUGCUCCUAGUACGAGAGGACCGGAGUGGACGCAUCACUGGUGUUCGGGUUGUCAUGCCAAUGGCACUGCCCGGUAGCUAAAUGCGGAAGAGAUAAGUGCUGAAAGCAUCUAAGCACGAAACUUGCCCCGAGAUGAGUUCUCCCUGACUCCCUGAGAGUCCUGAAGGAACGUUGAAGACGACGACGUUGAUAGGCCGGGUGUGUAAGCGCAGCGAUGCGUUGAGCUAACCGGUACUAAUGAACCGUGAGGCUUAACCUU